GUGGGUCCAUGCAUGUUUCCUUUGACCAAGGACCAGAGGCAUCUCCUACACCUAGGCACCAUGUAACAUCCUGGAUAAGACCCUGAGAAGGGGGAUGGAAGACACAAGAAGGACCAAAGUUAACCUUUCCGCCAGCCAGGAAGAAUGCGAGUUCGGUUUGCAACUGGGGACUGCAGCAGGUCUUCGAAUCUUGACCAUCUUUAAUUUGACAACAGCCCGGUCACAAGGGGCAGAUCUAGUUGCUUUAUUUUCACUGCUGCACAGAAUCUCACUAUGAAUUCUAAAGAGUGAAACUUACCACCAUGAUGCUCUUAGAAGAAACUGGCGUGACUUCUCAAAUCAUUAAAAAAAAAAGUUCUUGUAUUUUCAAAAUCUAUUGUAACUAGAAGCAAAAGGAAGAAGAAAACCAUUAAGCAGGAGGAGCGUGAGGUUGGUAACCUUAUGGGAAGUAUGAUUGCUCCCUUUGCCUGUGAUGACCCUGGGACCUGCUACGCAUCACCCUGCCUUGCAGGUCAGCAGAAACUCUUCACCCCCUGGGCCAACUCAUCACAGUGCUGCAAACUUGGUCCUGUCAGCAACAGAAGAUGUGCACAGGUUGUUCUGAACAGUGGAGACAGUGAUCUAGAGAGACCUGCCAACCCCCAUGUAACUCACCUGACGCUUGUCACUAGGUCUGAAGCUGUACCAGUAAGGAGCACCCACCUCACAUUUUAAUUAAAGAGCAAC